rnacentral:rRNA from 1 species
UACGUAGGGGGCGAGCGUUGUUCGAAGUUACUGGGCGUAAAGCGCGUGUAGGCGGGUCUUUAAGUGAGGGGUGAAAGGUUUGGGCUUAACCCAGACACUGCCUUUCAUACUGGAGACCUUGAGUGCGGGAGAGGCGAGUGGAAUGGUCGGUGUAGCGGUGAAAUGCGUAGAUAUCGAUCGGAACACCCAUGGCGAAGGCAGCUCGCUGGCCUGUAACUGACGCUGAGGAGCGAAAGCGUGGGGAGCGAUCCGG